rnacentral:rRNA from 1 species
UACGAAGGGGGCUAGCGUUGCUCGGAAUCACUGGGCGUAAAGCGCACGUAGGCGGACUCUUAAGUCAGGGGUGAAAUCCUGGAGCUCAACUCCAGAACUGCCUUUGAUACUGAGAGCCUUGAGUUCGGGAGAGGUGAGUGGAACUGCGAGUGUAGAGGUGAAAUUCGUAGAUAUUCGCAAGAACACCAGUGGCGAAGGCGGCUCACUGGCCCGAUACUGACGCUGAGGUGCGAAAGCGUGGGAGCAAACAGG